rnacentral:rRNA from 1 species
CUACGGAGGAUCCAAGCGUUAUCCGGAAUCAUUGGGUUUAAAGGGUCCGUAGGCGGGUUUGUAAGUCAGUGGUGAAAGUUUUCGGCUCAACCGGAAAAUUGCCAUUGAUACUGCAAGUCUUGAAUCAUUAUGAAGUGGUUAGAAUGUGUAGUGUAGCGGUGAAAUGCAUAGAUAUUACACAGAAUACCGAUUGCGAAGGCAGAUCACUAAUAAUGUAUUGACGCUAAGGGACGAAAGCGUGGGUAGCGAACAGGAUUAGAAACCCGAGUAGUCC